rnacentral:lncRNA from 1 species
UGAUGACUCGAGGAGUCUAGAUUGUAGGGAUUUAUACUAUUAUAUAGGGGUAGGGAGUCUAGAUUGGUUGGUUUCUCAUGCGGACCCUGAUUUGAAUCUUGAUGCUUGUUAGCCGCAGUUGUUGGUUUAAUCUUCUUCAACUUUUCAAACCAAGACGGCACAUGCAGAGCUUGUGACCUCAACCAUGUCUUGAGCAACUCACAUCUUUCAUUAACUUCUACAUUUCAAUUCACUUCUUGUCUUUCUUUUUGUAUAUCUUUUGUUUCUUUUUAUUCUGGAUUGUGACGAACUUCUAUUGAUCAUCUCGGACCACUGACUCGCAUUCUUGAUACGAGCUUCUUUUGUUGCUGACCCGAAUUGCAUUCUGCAUUGGAUUUUUUUUUCAGGUAGGUGCCUGAUUUCUGAACUUGAAUUGUCUUUUCUUGUUACUUGACGUUGUUUUCCCUUGCACCUUGAACCAUUUUCCCUUGAAACUUGAACUAUCUUCCUUCGAAAAUGCUUUCCCUUGAAACUUGAGUUGUCUUCCUUCGAAAAUGCUAUCCCUUGAAACUUAAGUUGCCUUCCCUUGUUCUCCAGGUGGGUGCCUGAU